GUUAAAAUCAAUAGAUAAAAAUAAGACAAUUUGACAGCAAUAAGAAUAAAUAAAAUGUAUCUUAUGAAGAAGGUGCAACAACAAUUACACAACAAUGUUCAUCACAGAAUGUGGAAACUAUGAUGGAAAUAGCCAUGCAAAUCCAGGUCCUUCACUGCACUAUUACCACCGGAAAUAAACUACAAUUAUAAUUCUCACUACAACCUGAAUCACUUAACAAGAGAUCAUUGCCCUGUUAUCCAAAUACUGGGUAUAGUUUUCACCAUCACCCUGCUUUUGAUUCUGAUUUUGUGCUGGCUUUUGCCUCUGAUUUUGAGUCUGGUCUUGCUUCCACAGACUUGGUAUCAGCUGCACAACACCCACCACC
rnacentral:misc_RNA from 1 species